GUGUGUUUUGCUCAAAGAGUAUUAUGUUAUCUGGAGUUAGUGAGAGUUUGACUUCCUCCUUGGCAAUGUGGAUGCCUUUUAUUACUUUUUGUUAUUUGAUUGCUGUGGCUAGGACUU